rnacentral:tRNA from 1 species
GAGGGUAUAGCUCAGUGGUAGAGCACUUGCUUAGCAUGCAUGAGGUCCUGGGUUCAAUUCUCAGUUCCUCCU